rnacentral:rRNA from 1 species
UUGAGCAUCAAACUUUUAAAUUGAAGAGUUUGAUCAUGGCUCAGAUUGAACGCUGGCGGCAGGCCUAACACAUGCAAGUCGAACGGUAACAGGAAGCAGCUUGCUGCUUCGCUGACGAGUGGCGGACGGGUGAGUAAUGUCUGGGAAACUGCCUGAUGGAGGGGGAUAACUACUGGAAACGGUAGCUAAUACCGCAUAACGUC